GCCUCAGGUAUCAAAAGCUGUGACUCUAAAGGAAUUCUUCCACAGUUUCAAUCCUGAAGAAUCCUCAAGUCAUAAUGAAUCAGAAUCAAGAGCAGAGCCAUCAGCAACAGAGCCAUCUGCAUCAGAGCCAUCAACAACUCAAACAGAAAAGACAGCUUGAGUAUCAGGAAAUGGGGAUGAAUCGCUGAAAUUGAAACUGCUUAAAGCAGAUUUUCCUGGCCUGGUGAAAGCCAUUCUAUGGGUGUGAGCCAACAAGAACAGCUUGAGAGGUGACAUACUCGAGCCAACCUGUUUAGAGGUAAUCCUUUAUUUUAUUACAGCACCAAAUUUAAAAUGAUGGAAUCAUAAAAAUCUUGAGUCGUCUUAAGAC
rnacentral:lncRNA from 1 species